AUAAUAUUGAGUUUGAUGAUGGCUCUGAUUGAACGCUGUCCAAGUGCUUGACACAUGCUAAUCGUACGUCAUAGGACUUAUCCUAUGAAGUGGUGUACAGGUGAGUAAAUGAAGUUAUAGCUGCCUUAGAGUAAGGAGAAAAAUCCCUUAUAUGAUAAUAACGUUAUGUUGUUAUUAAAAGAAAACAUAUUUUCGCUUUAAGAUGUUUAUAACUAUCUCGGGUAAGUAGUAGUUGAGGUAAUUGCUCAACUAGCUUAAGCCCGUAGUCGAAACUGAGAGGUUGAUCGACCACAUUGGGUCUGAAAAAACCCCAAUACGUAUAGUACAGCAGUGAGGAAUAUUGGUCAAUAGCCUAACGGCUGAACCAGCAACUUGGGGGAAUGUAAGCAUAUGUAUGGCCUAGCCACGCAUAUGUGUAUCGACUACGUCGUAUAAAGUUCUAGAUAGAUAACUGAUAAUGACAAUUUUCUAUCUAUAUGUCUUGACCAAAUCUCGUGCCAGCAGUCGCGGCAAUACGAGGAAGACUAGUGUUAUUCAUCUUUAUUAGGUUUAAAGGGUACCUAGACGGUAUAUCAAGCCCCAAAAGGGAACAGAUAUACUAGAGUUUUAUGUGAGAGGUAUAUAUUAGUACUAUUGGUGUAGAGAUGAAAUUCUUUGAUACUAAUGGAACGGAUAACAGCGAAAGCAAACCUUUAUGUAUAAACUGACGUUGAGGGACGAAGGCUUGGGUAGCGAAUAGGAUUAGAUACCCUAGUAGUCCAGGCAGAGAAUUAUGAAUGUUAUAGACUUGCGAAAGCAAGUGUAUAAAUGAAAGUGUAAGCAUUCCACCUCAAGAGUAAUGCGGCAACGCAGGAACUGAAAUCAUUAGACCGUUUCUGAAACCAGUAGUGAAGUAUGUUAUUUAAUUCGAUAACCCUCGAAAAACCUUACCACAAUUUGAAUAUUAUAGCGCUCCGGCGUUUAAUAAUACAAGUGUUGCACGGCUGUCUUCAGUUAAUGUCGUGAGAUUCUGGUUAGAUCCAUUAAAUUAACGUAAACCCUUGCUUUAUUUGUUUUUAUAAAGUAGUUCACCGCUAUAUUGGAUGUGAUAACAGGGACUAAGACAAGUCAUCAUGACCUUAAUAUUGUGGGCUAUAGACGUGCCACAUAUGCCUUUACAAAGAGAGGCGAAAAUGCGAAUUUGAGCUAAUCUCCAAAAUUGGAUAUAAUAUGAAUUGUAGCCUGAAACUCGGCUGCAUGAAAAAGGAAUUACUAGUAAUCGUGAAUCACCACAUCACGGUGGAUUUAAUCUCAGAUAGGUACUAACCACUCGUCAGGCGCUGAAAGGAGUAUGUGCAAUAAGUUUGGUUUCUUGUUAAUCUUCCCUCUUUACAAUUAGGUUUAGAUAUUUUUUCAAGCAAUCUUCGUAUGCGUGACUCUGAUUGGUGUUAAGUCGAAAUAUGGUUCGUGUAGUGGAAAUUGCACGGGAUUAAUAAAAAUU
rnacentral:rRNA from 1 species